UGGGGGAUUUUGCACAAUGGGCGCAAGCCUGAUGCAGCGACGCCGCGUGAGGGAUGAAGGCCUUCGGGUUGUAAACCUCUUUCGCUGGGUUGAAAGGCCAUGCUUUGGGUGUGGUUGAUUUGAACUGGUAAAGAAGUACCGGCUAACUACGUGCCAGCAGCCGCGGUAAUACGUAGGGUACUAGCGUUGUCCGGAUUUAUUGGGCGUAAAGGGCUUGUAGGUGGUUUGUCGCGUCUGUCGUGAAAUCCUGUGGCUUAACCAUGGGCCUGCGGUGGGUACGGGCAGGCUUGAGUGCGGUAGGGGAGACUGGAAUUCCGGGUGUAGCGGUGGAAUGCGCAGAUAUCAGGAGGAACACCGGUGGCGAAGGCGGGUCUCUGGGCCGUUACUGACACUGAGGAGCGAAAGCGUGGGGAGCGAACAGG
rnacentral:rRNA from 1 species